rnacentral:rRNA from 1 species
AUUGAACGCUGGCGGCAGGCCUAACACAUGCAAGUCGAGCGAGAGGCGGUCGGGUGAGUAAUGUCUGGGAAACUGCCCGAUGUAGGGGGGUAACUCUGGUAAACGCUAGCUAUUACCGCACACAAUCUGAUGUGCUCCCAUGGGAUUUGCUAGUAGGUGGGGUAACGGCUCACCGAGGCGACGAGCCCUAGCUGGUCUGAGAGGAUGACCAGCCACACUGGAAAUGAGACACGGUCCAGACUCCUACGGGAGGCAGCAGUGGGGAAUAGUGCACAAUGGGCGCAAGCCUGAUGCAGCCAUGCCGCGUGUGUGAAGAAGGCCUUCGGGUUGUAAAGCACUGUCAGCGGGGAGGCGUUACCCGCAGAAGAAGCACCGGCUAACUCCGUGCCAGCAGCCGCGGUAAUUC